CUCGCCCUAAUUUUCGUUCCUUUCCCCCUUGUGUGUGUACGAGAUCAUCUGUCGAAGAUAAAAAAAAGCGGGCCGGUGAGACCGGUGUUCAUCUGAUGAUUUGAUUUGUUUGGAUCACAUUGACAUCAGAUUGUCCCAAAUUACUGGAUGUAAUUUCUGCAUGCUUGUAGAUGUGAUUCACUUCAUGUUCUCCAAGGUUGGCUCUGACUUAACCAUGGAUGCUACAUGCAGAAAACUAUUUUCAGUAUUCAGGAGAAGGGUGCUCUGUUUACUAAAUCAGACAACAAAGUGAAGAAGGCUACUAUCGGCUUUUGUGCUAGAACUCCAAAACGGCAAAAAUAUGUGAAGGUGACAAGGAGGAAGUUAGAGGCCGGCGGUACAAGCUAAAUGUACACGCUAGCUUUCCCAUUCAAGAUAGUAGCGGCUCAGCGGUGCCAUUCUUCGUGGUGAGAGCGGUAAGGUAACGCUGUCAGCUUGGGGUCGUCCUAAGGAAUGUAUGUCAGUUAAAUACAAUUCAACAGGGAGAUGCAACUUGUUAAACGAUUUUGACCGUGAUGUUAGUGCAAUUUUUGUCGCGGCGUAACUCACCAAGAUGUUAGUUAAAUUAUAUUGCGAUGUAACUCACCCGGGAUGGUAGCUUUUUUUUUAUCACCAACGUAACUUACAGGGAUGUUGAUUAAAUUACCAUGAUGUAACUCACGUGUGAUGUUAAUUAAAUUAUGGCGAUGUAACUCA